rnacentral:rRNA from 1 species
AUAUACAUUCCUAUAAUGUUAAUGCAACGGAUCCCAUCAUAACUCCAUAGUUAAGCCUGCUUCGGCUAUAGUAGUAUUGGGAUGGGUGACCUCCUGAGAAGUAUUAGUGUUUUACAUG